rnacentral:rRNA from 1 species
GCGCUGCAUUAGCUAGUUGGUAAGGUAACGGCUUACCAAGGCAACGAUGCAUAGCCGACCUGAGAGGGUGAUCGGCCACACUGGAACUGAGACACGGUCCAGACUCCUACGGGAGGCAGCAGUAGGGAAUCUUCCGCAAUGGGCGAAAGCCUGACGGAGCAACGCCGCGUGAGUGAUGAAGGUCUUCGGAUCGUAAAACUCUGUUAUUAGGGAAGAACAUAUGUGUAAGUAACUGUGCACAUCUUGACGGUACCUAAUCAGAAAGCCACGGCUAACUACGUGCCAGCAGCCGCGGUAAUACGUAGGUGGCAAGCGUUAUCCGGAAUUAUUGGGCGUAAAGCGCGCGUAGGCGGUUUUUUAAGUCUGAUGUGAAAGCCCACGGCUCAACCGUGGAGGGUCAUUGGAAACUGGAAAACUUGAGUGCAGAAGAGGAAAGUGGAAUUCCAUGUGUAGCGGUGAAAUGCGCAGAGAUAUGGAGGAACACCAGUGGCGAAGGCGACUUUCUGGUCUGUAACUGACGCUGAUGUGCGAAAGCGUGGGGAUCAAACAGGAUUAGAUACCCUGGUAGUCCACGCCGUAAACGAUGAGUGCUAAGUGUUAGGGGGUUUCCGCCCCUUAGUGCUGCAGCUAACGCAUUAAGCACUCCGCCUGGGGAGUACGACCGC